UACGAAGGGGGCUAGCGUUGCUCGGAAUCACUGGGCGUAAAGCGCACGUAGGCGGCUUCUUAAGUCAGGGGUGAAAUCCUGGAGCUCAACUCCAGAACUGCCUUUGAUACUGAGGAGCUUGAGUCCGGGAGAGGUGAGUGGAACUGCGAGUGUAGAGGUGAAAUUCGUAGAUAUUCGCAAGAACACCAGUGGCGAAGGCGGCUCAAUGGCCCGGUACUGACGCUGAGGUGCGAAAGCGUGGGGAGCAAACAGG
rnacentral:rRNA from 1 species